AUGGCGGCAUGGAGGCCGCGGUGGUGCAGGGUAAUAAGACGCGGCACCGAGCCAGGCGCGACCGGUGCGUGUUACGGGUGCGCACUGGACGUGUCGGGCGCGUCGGGACCGCGGGAGUGGACCGCGUCGAGGCGCUGGACUUGGUUGCGCAGAUCGCGUACGUGCGCGGCGGGAGCGCAGGCCGGGAGCGCGGGGACGUGGGGAGUGCGCGCGAAGGGCACGGUGAUCGCGGAGACGAGGAGGUCGCAAAGGACAUGCGUGGUGGCGCAGAGGUCGCGACGGCUCGGGGCGACAACCAUGGAAGGUCCAUGGCACGUAGGGUCGGGUGCGCGCGGGACGUGCGGGGCGCGGACGGACGCCAGGCGUGUGUCGCCGGCUGAGAUGGAGCUCGGCGUAUGUCGCCGGGGUCGUGACGGAGCACGGUGCGACCGGAAUCAGUGCGUCAGGUCGGGUCCGUGGCGGUGCGACCGGCGUCGAUGCGCCGGGUCGGGUCCGCGGGCUGGGUCACGGCCGUGA
rnacentral:rRNA from 1 species